AGGUCAAGCAAGAAAGAGCGCAGGGUGGAUGCCUUGGCACUAAGAGCCGAAGAAAGACGUGAUAAGCUGCGAAAAGCUGCGGGGAGGAGCAAAUAUCCAUUGAGCCGCAGAUAUCUGAAUGGGGAAACCCGGCUGGACGAACUCCAGUCAUCCAUACGCCAAUCCAUAACGUAUGGAAGGGAACCCGGUGAACUGAAACAUCUAAGUAGCCGGAGGAANNNNNNNNNNGAACCCGGUGAACUGAAACAUCUAAGUAGCCGGAGGAAGAGAAAGAAAAAUCGAUUUCCAAAGUAGCGGCGAGCGAAAUGGAAAGAGGCCAAACCAUGGUGCGUGCACCGUGGGGUUCGGACCGCAUAAUUGAUUCGUUGAUCCUAGCAGAAAGGUUUUGGGAAAGCCUGCCAGAGAGGGUGAAAGCCCCGUAAGCGAAAGGAAAGACGACAUGGCGGAAUCCAGAGUACAUCGAGACACGAGAAACCUUGAUGGAAUGAGCGGGGACCACCCCGUAAGCCUAAAUACUCCUUAGUGACCGAUAGCGCAUAGUACUGUGAAGGAAAGGUGAAAAGGACCCCGGGAGGGGAGUGAAAGAGAACCUGAAACCCUGUGUUUACAAGCUGUGGAACAUCUUUAUAUGAUGAACCGCGUACUUUUUGUAGAACGGUCCGGCGAGUUACGCGUGCCGGCAAGGUUAAGCACUUAAGGUGUGGAGCCGAAGAGAAAUCGAGUCUGAACAGGGCGUUCAGUCAGCACGCGUAGACCCGAAACCGGGUGAUCUACCCAUGUCCAGGUUGAAGUUGCCGUAAAAGGCAAUGGAGGACCGAACGCACAUCCGUUGAAAAGGGUGGCGAUGAGGUGUGGGUAGGGGAGAAAUUCCAAUCGAACCCGGAGAUAGCUGGUUCUCCUCGAAAUAGCUUUAGGGCUAGCCUCAUUUUAGUCUUAUGGAGGUAGAGCACUGAAUUUCCGCGGGGGCGUCAAAGCUUACCAAAGAAUAUCAAACUCCGAAUGCCAUGUAGAUGAUGAAUGGGAGUCAGACUGCACGAGAUAAGUUGGGUGGUCAAAAGGGAAAGAGCCCAGACCUACAGCUAAGGUCCCAAAGUGCGUGUUAAGUGGAAAAGGAUGUGGGAUUUCAAAGACAACCAGGAUGUUGGCUCAGAAGCAGCCAUACAUUCAAAGAGUGCGUAACAGCUCACUGGUCGAGAGGUCCUGCGCCGAAAAUGUCCGGGGCUGAAACACGACACCGAAGCUUAGGAAUCACAUAGUGAUUGGUAGAGGAGCAUUCUUAAAACCGACGAAGCUGUACCGGAAGGAGCAGUGGAGGGAUAAGAAGAGAGAAUGCCGGAAUGAGUAGCGAGAGGAAGGUGGGAAUCCUUCCGGCCGAAUAUCUAAGGUUUCCAGAGUAAAGCUGAUCUGCUCUGGGUAAGUCGGGGCCUAAGGAGAGGUCGAAAGACGUAUCCGAUGGACAACAGGUUUAGAUUCCUGUACCACAUAUAAACAGAACUGUGGGGACGCAUGUGGAAAGCAUAAGCCGGGAAUGGAAAUACCGGUACAAACGGAAGAGGUGUCAGGCUGGCAAAUCCGCCUGGCAAGCCAAAGACGUGAUGUGGAGCGAAAUAAAAGUAGCGAAGUAUGUGAGCCAUGUGCCGAGAAAAGCCGCUAUUGUUUUAUAUGUGCCCGUACCGUAAACCGACACAGGUGGAUGAGGAGAGAAUCCUAAGGCCGACGGAAGAAGCAUUGUUAAGGAACUCGGCAAAAUGACCCCGUAACUUCGGGAGAAGGGGUGCCCACUUCAGGGUGGGCCGCAGAGAAUAGGCUCAAGCAACUGUUUAGCAAAAACACAGGUCUAUGCGAAACCGUAAGGUGAAGUAUAUGGGCUGACGCCUGCCCGGUGCUGGAAGGUUAAGAGGAGAGGUUAGUCGCAAGAUGAAGCUUUGAAUUUAAGCCCCAGUAAACGGCGGCCGUAACUAUAACGGUCCUAAGGUAGCGAAAUUCCUUGUCGGGUAAGUUCCGACCCGCACGAAAGGCGUAAUGAUUUGAGCACUGUCUCGACAAUGCAUCCGGUGAAAUUGAAGUACCAGUGAAGAUGCUGGUUACCCGCGCCAGGACGGAAAGACCCCAUGGAGCUUUACUCCAGUUUGGUACUGGGAUUCGGUACUGCAUGUACAGGAUAGGUGGGAGACUGAGAAAUUGGAACGCCAGUUUCAAUGGAGUCACUGUUGGGAUACCACCCCUGCAGUAUUGGGUUUCUAACCAGCCGCUGUGAUCCAGCGGUGGGACAAUGCCAGGCGGGGAGUUUGACUGGGGCGGUCGCCUCCGAAAGGGUAUCGGAGGCGCUCAAAGGUUCCCUCAGAAUGGUCGGAAACCAUUUUAAGAGUGCAAAGGCAGAAGGGAGCUUGACUGCGACACCGACGGGUGGAGCAGGUACGAAAGUAGGACUUAGUGAUCCGGUGGCAUAAAGUGGGAUUGCCAUCGCUCAACGGAUAAAAGCUACCCUGGGGAUAACAGGCUUAUCACUCCCAAGAGUUCACAUCGACGGAGUGGUUUGGCACCUCGAUGUCGGCUCAUCGCAUCCUGGGGCUGUAGCAGGUCCCAAGGGUUGGGCUGUUCGCCCAUUAAAGCGGUACGCGAGCUGGGUUCAGAACGUCGUGAGACAGUUCGGUCCCUAUCCGGCGCGGGCGGAGGAUAUUUGAGAGGAGCUGUCCUUAGUACGAGAGGACCGGGAUGGACGGACCACUGGUGUAUCUGCUGUCGACCAACGGCAUGGCAGAGUAGCCAAGUCCGGAAGGGAUAAACGCUGAAGGCAUCUAAGCGUGAAGCCCCCCUCAAGAUGAGAUAUCCCUCACAUAAGUGAGUAAGAUCCCUUGAAGAGUACAAGGUAGAUAGGGCAGAGGUGGAAGCACGGUAACGUGUGGAGCUGACUGUUACUAAUCGAUCGAGGGCUUGACCAAAU
rnacentral:rRNA from 1 species